AUUGAACGCUGGCGGAAUGCUUUACACAUGCAAGUCGAACGGCAGCACGGGGGCAGCUCUGGUGGCGAGUGGCGAACGGGUGAGUAAUACAUCGGAACGUGCCCGGCCGCGGGGGCUAACGUAGUGACAGUUACGCUAAUACCGCAUACGCUCUGAGGACGUACGCGGGGGACCAUCGGAUCUCGCGCGCUUGGACCGGCCGAUGUCGGAUUAGGUAGUUGGGGGGGUAAAGGCCUACCAAGCCGACGAUCUGUAGCUGGUCUGAGAGGACGACCAGCCACACUGGAACUGAGACACGGCCCAGACUCCUACGGGAGGCAGCAGUGGGGAAUUUUGGACAAUGGGCGCAAGCCUGAUCCAGCCAUUCCGCGUGCGUGACGAAGGCCUUCGGGUUGUAAACUGCUUUUGUACGGAACGAAAAGGCUCUGGCUAAUACCUGGGGCUCAUGACGGUACCGUAAGAAUAAGCACCGGCUAACUACGUG
rnacentral:rRNA from 1 species